rnacentral:rRNA from 1 species
ACUUAUCCAAAGUCCCUUUGAUAGGGGCCACAUUCCCGAGAGGGUGCGAGACCUGUGCGGAUAGUGGAGCAAGCUGUACGAUCAUACCUUGGAGUCGGGUUGCUUGAAAGUGCAGCCUAAAGUGGGUGAUAAACUUCAUCUAAGGCUAAAUAUAGACGCGAAUUCGAUAGCAAACAAGUACUGUGAAGGAAAGUUGCAAAGAACUUUGAAGAGAGUUCAAGAGAACGUGAAAUCGCUGGAGUGGAAACGGAGAGUUGACGUAGUCCGGUGACUAAGUUUGCCGAAAUCGCUUAAUUGUGAUUAAGGUGAAUGUAUGUUGCCUAUGGCUGCGCUGACAGCACUGGUUGUACGUUCCGAACCGUUUUCGUUGCCCAAUUUUCGAAUUGGUGUCUUGUUUACGGGUAGGUUUGUUAUGACUAGUGUUUUAUCCUGUUUUAUGCAGGGUGUCAGUGUGAAGGUCGACCACCUCUCCGACCCGUCUUGAAACACGGACCGAGGAGUGUAACUUGUACGCGAGUCAAAGGGUGGAAAACCCCAAGGCGCAAUGAAAGUAAAGGUCGGUUAACCGACUGACAUGGGAUCCGUUUCGUUUUGAAGCGGCGCACCAUGGCCCUGUCUUGUCUGCUUGCAGAUGGGCAGCGGUAGAGCGUACAGGUUGCGACCCGAAAGAUGGUGAACUAUGCCUGAGCAGGACGAAGUCAGAGGAAACUCUGGUGGAAGUCCGUAUCGGUUCUGACGUGCAAAUCGAUCGAUAGACUUGGGUAUAGGGGCGAAAGACUAAUCGAACCAUCUAGUAGCUGGUUCCUCCGAAGUUUCCCCCAGGAUAGCUGGAGUUCAUUGCGGUUAUAUCCGGUAAAGCGAAUGAUUAGAGGACUUGGGGUCGAAACGACCUCAACCUAUUCUCAAACUUUCAAUGGGUAUGUUGUCUCGGUUUCUUUGUUGAACUGUUGACACGAACGCGAACUCCAAGUGGGCCAUUUUUGGUAAGCAGAACUGGCGCUGUGGGAUGAACCAAACGUUGGGUUAAGGUGCCUAACUUUUCGCUCAUGAGACCCCAUAAAAGGCGUUGGUUGAUAUAGACAGCAGGACGGUGGCCAUGGAAGUCGGUACCCGCUAAGGAGUGUGUAACAACUCACCUGCCGAAUCAACUAGCCCUGAAAAUGGAUGGCGCUUGAGCGAGAGACCUAUACCCAACCGUUGCUGGCUUGUGCGUGCCUGUCGCCUGGCUGCAACGAGUAGGAGGUCGUGGCGGUUGCGUCGAAGGUUUUGGGCGUAGGCCCAACUGGAGCUUCCGUCAGUGCAGAUCUCGGUGGUAGUAGCAAAUAUUUAAGUUCGAUCCUUGAAGACUGAAGUGGAGAAGGGUUCCACGUGAACAGUAGUUGAAUGUGGGUCAGUCGAUCCUAAGAUACUGGCUUAUGCCUUGUAUCAUCGAGAGGGAAAAGUCUCUUUUCUCUCGGAUAUCAAAAGGGAAUAGGGUUAAUAUUCCCUAACGCAGACACAGAGAUUGUGGCUCUUACGAGUCACUUGCGCGGUAACGCAUUCGAACUUGGUUACGUCGCUCAGAGACCGAGCUAGAGUUCUCUUCUCUAGUUAAGGAACGGACUCCCUGGAAUCGGUUCAGCCGUAGAUAGGGACGUUGUUUCCGUAAAGCAUCGCGGUUUCUGUGAUGUCUCGUGUUCUCUGGACGGCCCUUGAAAACCAAGGGAGGCUAUUAAUCUGUGCUGCAUCGUACCGAUAUCCGCAUCAGGUCUCCAAGGUGAACAGCCUCUAGUCGAUAGAAUAAUGUAGGUAAGGGAAGUCGGCAAAUUAGAUCCGUAACUUCGGGAAAAGGAUUGGCUCCAGUGACCGGGUCGGUUGGCUUGUUAACUGAUGCUUGUGCGGUUUCGUCCGUGGCUGGCUGAUACUAACGUUGAUGCUGGACUAGUGACAUGACUGCCUUGUGGACGUUUUCAGGUGUGUGCUUUGUCUUCGGACUUAGUAUCCUGAUCGACCAUCAAAACGGUCGAACUGGAACUGGUACGGACUCGGGGAAUCCGACUGUCUAAUUAAAACAGAGGAGACAGAUGGUCCUUGCGGACGUUUACUGUCUCUGAUUUCUGCCCAGUGCUCUGAAUGUUAAAUCGUAGUAAUUCGAGUAAGCGCGGGUAAACGGCGGGAGUAACUAUGACUCUCUUAAGGUAGCCAAAUGCCUCGUCAGCUAACUACUGACGCGCAUGAAUGCCACUCAGAGGAUGUGCCCUCGGGUACAAUCCUCAGGGUAUCCGCCUCCUCGCGGUGAGUGGCGGGCAACGGAGAGCUGGGCUCCGGCGAAAGGAUACCCAAAGCACCUACGCUGUCUGAAAUAAGACGUAGUAGGGCAAACUUACACGCUGAAUACAGGCAACCUCAUCGCUGACCGACGCAAUCGCUGCGCGGGAGAUAGAGGAGCAGCCUAUAAUCAAAAGAAGAUUCCUCCAGGAAGUACCAUGUAAGCAGCCACUUGGUACUGGAGGAGAACUGCUAUUGGCAGUCAAGUAGACUCUUCAGUUAAACCUGAAAGAGCUUCUCGGUUAACUUCCUGGAAGUUGGAUGGACGCAACUUCGCCGUAAGUCCCGCUAAAGGCUACCAUAAGCCGAAUGGGCAGUAAUGGGGAAGGAGUGCAGGGGCUGGUUCGCUGCACUCACGCUUGGUCGUCCUCAAUGGAAAGGAGACGCAGAGUGAUACUCUGUGAAAAUACGACUGCGUAAGUAACAGUCGACCAUAAGGUCACUUUCGUAGCCACACGACCUCGCACUGUUUAGCGGUGUACACCAAGCCACGCUCAAGGGGCCUCUGGUGGUUCGUGUCAUGCGCGAGAGCCACCUCAUGGUGU